AACGCUUGGAGGUAAACCCCAUAAGGCUGAGCUUGGUGUGCCGUUUACAACCAUAGCAUUUGGUCUUCUGCUUUCCAAGUCUCACAGCCACGAUGAAGCGUGUCAGGAUCUCACACCAACAUUAUGGAGUCUCCCUCUGGAAGGCUUUGGGAAGCUAUUCUCUAUCUGUUUUAACGCAUACAUAUUAAGAAUGAUGGUUUAGAUAUUUACCAGAGAAAAAUGGAAGGAGUGUAUUUUU
rnacentral:lncRNA from 1 species